GCCGAGGACAGAGGAGGAACAGGGAAGGCAAGCCGGAGGAGGGGGAGGAGAGACAAAGCAAAAAGUCAUGGAUAGCACCUGCUCAGUAUGUGCGACCUUGCCUUGGAUUUUGGAAAUAGAGAGUUGACGCUGGGAAGUCCCCACUUUGCAUUCACCAGACCUCCUACACCUGUGUCUGCACCUGUUCUGGCCCUUCCUGGGCCACACUUCCCAGAUUCUGUCUGGCCCCCAGGCCAGGCCAUGGAUUUAUUUUGGAUCAGAAAUGCUGGUCUCAGAAGACUCCAGGGAGACUCGGAGUACAGGGAUUUGCUGGGUGCCAGGGCAGGUGGCAUUCCAAGCUGGUGGGACCCAGUCGGACUGGUUGGUGAAUCUACGUAUAGGAAUAGCAACAAAAGAUAAAAAUCCUUGGAAACUAAGGGAGGAAGCAGAAAAUUGGUCUUUAUUUGCUGAUCUGUCUAUUCUUGGGAAAUGGAAACACAGAGGCUGCACCUUUGGAAGUGUGACUGGAAGACUUAACUGGGAAUUCAUAAGUUACAUAUUUAGUUCCACUCACUGAACUCAGCAUAUGAUCAAUGACAUUGAUUUUGUGGUGCUGGGGAUUGAACCCAGAGCUUUAUGCAUGCUAAACAAGUAGUCUAUGACUAAGGUAUAUCCCUGGGCUCUAUAUGCAUCCAUUAUUAGUCAAUAAAUAAACAAUAACAAUAUUAGCAGUCAAUGAAUUUGUCACCACCAGUAUGAACUAUUAAUAUUUUUAUGUCAUCUCACAGUGUUGCAGAUACUACAAAAUUUAAUCUGUGUUCAUCACUACAGUAUAUUAAAUUAUGCUAGCUAUCAUACUCACCGUUAGAUCUGGACAUUUAGUGUAUUGCUAAGAAAGCAAUAUAUCAUGAAACUAGUAUAUCAUGAAACUUUUUGAAUAUUUGGAUAAUACAGUAAUUAUAGACCAAUAUAUUUCUUUAUGUAUUCAAAUUCAUUAUUGUUUGAGAAACAAAAAUAGAAAAGGGAUCCUGACAAAUGACAUAGAUAAUUCUCAAAAGAGGAUGUACCAGUGCCCAACAUCUAUGUGAAAAAUGCUCAGCAUCACUAAUCAUCAAAGAUAUGAAAAUCAAGAUCACAAAGAAUUAUUAUCCAACCACAAUUAGAAUGGCAUCAAAGGGCAAAACAAUAGCAGAUUCCAGUGAGGACUGGAGAAAGGAAAACUGUAUUGCUAGUGGAGGUGCAAAUUAGUAGAGUCAUUAUGGAAAGCAGUAUAGAGAUUCCUCAACAACCUAGGGUAGAACUAUUGUAUGAUCUAGCAAUCCCACUACUGAGUAUAUAUUCAAAGUUAUUUUUCCCUUUUUUUUUUUUUUUUUGGUACCAAGGAUUGAACUCAGACCUUGCGCUUGCAAGGCAGGAGGCAAAACCCCUGAGCUAAAUCCCUGGCCCCAAAGUCAUUAAUAUCAGUAUGUCAAAAAGGCAUCUGUACUUGCAUCUUUAUUGCAGCACUAGCCACGAUAUCCAGGAUAUAGUCAACUUAGGUGUCCAGUGAAUGUAUGCAUAAAGAAAACAUGGUAUAUAACUUGUACACACAAUAGAACACUACUGUUUAGCCAUAAAAAGCAACAUGGACAGCAGUGGAGGACAUCAUGUUAAGUGAAAUAAGUCAGGCAUUAAAAGACAAAUAUUACAUGUUCUCACUUAUAUCCAGAUGGAAAAAGUUGAUCUCAUAUAAGCAGAGAAUAAAGUACAAUACUGGUUACCAGAGCCUGGGAAGGGUUUGGGGGAAGAAAAGAUGGAGACAAGACAGUAAAUGUGUGCAGGGGUGCAGUUGUAUAGGGCAAAUAACCUCUAACUUUCUGUAGCACAGUAGUUGGCAAUAAUUGAUUGAAUAUUUCAAAAAUAGCUAAUUUGGAAGAUCUCAAACGUUCCCAGCACAAAGAAAUGUCAAAUGUCUGAGGUG
rnacentral:lncRNA from 1 species